UAUCACAAAUCCUGCAAAAGAAGACAGAGAGAGAGUUCUCUCUCCCUCAACCCGCAGCCCCGGAGCAAGGCCUAUUUCAGCGAGGAAGGAAGAGAGUAAUCAGUCAAAGCUCGGAGAUUAAUUGGCGAACAGCAAUACCAGCCGGUCACGGUGGUCGGAGCUCGGAGAAAUAGGAGCAGAGCAUGGAGCUCAAAUUGCUGCAAUGUAUAGCCAGCUUCUUUAUUCCAUGGAGGAAGUCCUUGUUUCAAGCCAUCAAGGACAAUAUGAGCCUGGUCAACAUUGCCCGGCUAUUAUUGUAUUAGUGCACCACGUAAAGCACAUAUCGGUCCCACCAUACCGUUUCCCUGUGUCCUGAUGUUUGGUAAUUCCAUUCAUGUUCAUCGCGAGUUGAAAGAUGAAUUAGCGAACGGAGAUAGUUUCCAACUGAUGUGGUUAUGUGCUUUGUGGCUUGCUUUGAUUGCAUGCCCGAACACGAGCCACAUGUUGUAUUAUCAACCAAAGUAGGAUAUACGAUGGCGAUGUUUACUAUCCUUCUUGAUUAUGUGACCAUCUUGUACUGAGAUUUCUUAAUAAUUUGAAUCAUCCAUCCAUGUAAUAGAUUUCGGAAAAACCAACACAAUCGGGUCUUUUGUCAAGCUGUCGAAAGUAACAUUUACCGGUGAAUGGUGAUUGAUCUUCUCUUUGAUUUCGUGAUGCACUUUAUAUUUAAUUGAAA